GUCUCUGUAGCAUAGUGGAUAGUGCACAGCUCCGUAGAGGUUGAGACCCUGGUUCGAAUCCCGCCUGGGAUG
rnacentral:tRNA from 1 species